rnacentral:rRNA from 1 species
UACGAAGGGGGCUAGCGUUGCUCGGAAUCACUGGGCGUAAAGCGCACGUAGGCGGAUCCUUAAGUCAGGGGUGAAAUCCUGGAGCUCAACUCCAGAACUGCCUUUGAUACUGGGAGUCUCGAGUCCGGGAGAGGUGAGUGGAACUGCGAGUGUAGAGGUGAAAUUCGUAGAUAUUCGCAAGAACACCAGUGGCGAAGGCGGCUCACUGGCCCGGUACUGACGCUGAGGUGCGAAAGCGUGGGGAGCAAACAGG